rnacentral:lncRNA from 1 species
AGUACGGAUGUAUGCUAAGUGGUGAUUUUCCAAAAGAUAUUUGAAAGGGGUGUGAAAAGCAUUUUUUUUGUUAUGAAUGAGCAAUUAAGGUUAUACCUGUCCGAGGUCUUUUUGGGCACUUCCCAUCCUUAUGAGGGUAAAACUGUCCUUACUAUUGAGAAGUAAGUAAUUUUAUCCUAGGGAUGUAUAAGGGUCAUCGUAGGGUCAUCGAUAGGUCAUUGAAGGCAACAGUUGUGAGGAUACCUUAGCAUUCGAAGGGACUAUCAUCAUUUAACCGUAGGCUACACCGAAGGGUCAUCGAGGGACAAAAUCGUAUUUUCGAAGGCAACAUCCGAGGGACCAUGAUU